GGACAUUCAGAGGCUAUAUGACCGUAACCAAGAUACUUGAAACACUUGAUAUCUCGACUUCAUCUGGGAGGUUGUGAAUUCUCCACCUUCUCUUUUUCUUUAGCCGCAUCUGUGACUUGCUUGCUAGAAUCACAUUUUUCUACUUGUUUUGGAACCGCCUUAGGGACGGACCAUGGUGAUAAGGAAGACGAGUUGGUAGUCUUACUUGGCUUACUUGCAGCACGCUUACGCUGUC
rnacentral:lncRNA from 1 species